CUUGGAAAUCACUGGGGAAACAGUAAAAAUAAAAAUAUCCUGCAUGUUUUCCCAUUCUCCUUGUAAAUCCAUCAUAAUUUGGAUAUAAUAUGGAGUUGCCAAAAAGGAGCAGGUUUCACAUACAGAGCAAGGAAGGAAAUGGGACUCCAGAGUCAGCAUAAGGGGAAAGGGUUAGGAAGCUAAACAAGGUGCUGCAAUAUUCAAAGGGAUCUUUUCAUGCUGUACCUUUUCUCUUUAUAUACAGCAUGAUCUACUCUUUAGUUACUUCCUAAUUCAAAGAAGGCGUUAAAGACUGAAAACUACAAAGGGUAGAGAUUAAAGACAAGCUGGUGUGCAGUCAUAUGAAGCACCACAAAGAAAUGGAAGCUUUGAACCCAACCACCAUACUGGAUGUAAAAAUGGGGGAAAUCAUUAGAAGAAGUUGAAAAAUUUGAAAGUAAUAGAUGGCUGAACAAACUGCUUCUCCUGCUUACCAUUCUGUGUUUUACAUCCUUUGGGAUUUCCAAUUCCCCAGCAUGAACAAAACAAAUAUGACUAUUGAAUAUGGUUUCAUCUGCAUGUGAUGGGAGCAAAAGAUUCUGUCAUAGUACUUUAUCAUAGAACUGCAACUCCCAAAAGGAGGAAGAUUUGUUCCUUACCCCUUUUUCCACAGAGGGGCUUAUAAAGCAAGAUGGCUGCCUACAAAAACUGACCAAGAAGAUUGCUGUGAAGUUUUGAUGUGUGAUUCUCUGCUCCCAGAGUAUAAUCAGUUGCUGGACACAAGCUGGGAAAUACCUGGCUAAAUUGCUCUUUGCAAUUCACAUGGCUGAAGAAGAAAAGAUGCAUCUUGUCAAUUAGAACACAUUGGCAGAAACAUGUUCAAAUUAUGCACCCAGCCAUUCUCACUUAAAGGCUUUUCUUGUGGUUGAUCCUCCAGUGAUUUAUAGUAGCAUGCCCAAGCAAUGCUGAACCAAUUCAGACACAGUAAAGUCAAUAGUACUAGUCCGUUUUUUAUGAUGACACAAUUAUGUCAAGCAUCCUAUAUAGUAUAAUAUUUCCUCUACUGGAGGAAAAAUACUAAUAACACACAAAGGAAUGGUGUGGCAGAAUGUUCUGCAAUACAGACUGCAAAAGGACCACAUUACUUUAGUCUGCAGUCUUGUCAUGUGGUUUUAGGUGUAUGGUGCAACAGAACCUGAAGUUAAUGGGACUAUUCACCCCCCACAAGCAUAUUGAAUAGAUGUUGUAGAGCAUAGUAAUAAAUGGUGAUUAUUAUUAAUUUUUGUAUACAAGAUUUCUAAUUUCAUCUGAGAUAUCGUGCUAAUUUGGUUGGCCAAUAUGGGCUGUAUGUGUCUGCUGUAUGUCUGCUACAUACACACAUUUCUUAUAUAUAUAUUAUUUAUUUAACAAAAUUUGUAGACUGCUUAAUCGCUAAAACCUCUAUGCACACAUAUUUUUUUAUGUGUCUCCAGGAGUGUAGACUUCAUUCUAUUGUCUUUAAAGUUGUAAUCCCUAACACUUUACUAGGGAGUAAAUCCCACUGAACUCAGUGGAACUUACUUCUAAUAUGCUUAAGGGUGCUCUGUAUGCAAUAGAUUUUAAAUUUGUACUUCAGUUUUUUGAACUACAAUUCUCUGGCAUAAAAUAUAAUCUAAUUUGUUACCCAAGAUGUGCACCCUUACAUUAAAAAAUAUACAAUUAAGGUGGGUCAGUAAAAGGGGCAACUUCUUCAGUCUUCUGCCUUGCACUGUUGCUGUGGCCAGUAUUGCCAAGCUAAAAAUCUCAACAGGAUGCUACUGCCUGCCCUGAAAGGAAGGUAAAUAACCUGGUGGUGGAAGUCGCUCUUUUCCCAUGAUUUCAAUGAAGAGGAGAUAGACUAACAGCACAGUCCUAUGCAUGUUUAUUCAGAAGUAUGCCCCAGUGAGUUCAGUUGGUCUUACUCAGGUAAGUAGGUAUAUGGUCGCAGCCUAAGGGUUUCAGAUGAGUGUUUAUUGUGGGAUCAAUACUUCUCAUGCAUGCAGGUUUUAUGCAGCAUCCAUAUAACUGUGUUAGUAUGAAACACCCCCCCCCCCCCGUUUAAUGUAGAUUUCUGGGAGAAAUUUGAUUAAAUGACCCAUUUGUGGUAUCUUAAAGGUCUGUUUGCAAUAUUAAGCCUUUACCUGGAACCACCAUAAAUCUGCAAUACUGUGCACGCUUACUUGGGAGCGAAUGUCACAACCCCAAAAUAGACAUGCAUAGGAUUAUGCUGUACAGCUAAAUGUGAAUGGUGAGCCAACUCCCAUUGGGUCAGGUAGAAAUUGGAAAGCUGUUCCAUUGACCUCCAUGAGGUGGUAGCAAUAGAAACUUAGCUCACUCAGAAUAUUUUGCUUUGGUUAAAGAUAAAAAGCAAUUGAUUCAACGCCAGUACAUAUUAUUGGCUUGAAAAUCUGGAAUGUUGGUGCAGCCACCAUACGUCCCCCCCCCCCCGCUUAGGUCCUUCCACAUGGCAAGUCUGCUGUAUGCAACCAUCACCCAGUUGUCUAAAAUUUCAUCUUUCUGUCAUAAAUCAUUGCAAAGUUGAGUUAGCAGUAUGGCAACAAUUGCCUUGGUAAGGUAGCUUCUCUAGUAAGUUUAUUAAACAAGGCAAUAAUCAGAAUCUUCUUUUGGGGGCUGCUUGAAGUAAAAUAAUAACAAUCUUUUCUUAAAAUACAUUUUGUUGUUGUGAAUGAUACACAUAUUCUGAAUGGGUAGCUCUUUCUGUGAAUGGCUGGAUCAAUAGCUGAAUAGUGCCUCACAAAAUGCCACACACACCUUCGAAUAAACCCCACAGAAUUAAACAGGACUUACUUCUGAGUAGAUAUGCAUAAAAUUGCGCUGUUGGGCUGCAGUCUUGUACCCAUGUCCCUGGAAGUAAACCCUGCUGAACUCAGUGGGCCUUACUUCUGAGCAGAUACAUAUAGGAUUGCACUGUUAGUGUAUCCAUCUCGUUUGGAGGGAAGGUGGGGAACAGGUUAUGCCUGGCUGAAAAUAAGGGUGGGACCCAGGUGUGAUUUCUAACCUGGGUCAUGCACUUCCUAUUUUUAUGUUAAUAAAAAAAUAAAUGAUUGUGAGCUGCUUCUAAUCUGCAUUUUCUUGCAGGUGCAAGUCCACUGAGGUGCUACACUGAGCAAAUUUCCAAAGAGCUUGGAUUAAUGACUAUGUACUCACAUUAUGACUGAAAUAGCAAACCGC